rnacentral:misc_RNA from 1 species
GAUUAACCGGCCUAGUCAUUGACUCAGAUCUAUCCAACGGAUGCAGUUGACGGGCAUGUGGAGCAAGAGAACGAGAAGACACUGGGGUGUGGAGAAAAGGAGGAGGAUAAGAGGUCAUUCUUGAGGUGGGAGUGGGAGCACCAACAUCAUGAUACAUUUGGUACCUCCAAUCUGAAUGGUACUCAGCCUCUAUAACUGCCCAUCUCUCUUCGAAGAUCUCUGAUAACUGUUCAGCCAUAACAUGUACAUCUUGCCCUCUAGGAUUAUAAGUCAUGGCAUUACGAAAGACGAGUCGUACAUCCUCCGCAAAUUCCAUUGGAGACUUGUACCAAUCAUCAGAUAACCUAGUCUUAAUGGUGCCCAAAUCCAUAGGAUGCUUAAUGAUGUCAUGAUAAUCAUGUAGCCCAAGAGAUUUCACGUUCACUGGCUCAUUAAACACCCAACCAUGCUUGUGUUUCAUUAACCUCUGAAGCAAGCUGCUACAAUUCCUAAAAACCUGAAGUCUGUG